AGGACAAAUGCUGAUGCUUCAGCGACAGAAAAACUUAAUGCUGAUGUGCUGAGAGUUGGGACGAACUUGUAGACUACUUUAUGUUGAAAACCUGUGUAAGGAUAGGGGUCCCUUGGCAAGGUGGCACCUGGGCAGUGUACCUAUUAGCUAGUGAAUUCAGGUUUAGGGCUGGCUUUGGGACAAGUAAUAAUUGGUUCCAUAUUCUCAGAUUUAGUUAGAGAAAUCACUAGGAUUGGCCCUCGAUAUACCUCAGCCAUUUUGCAGAGGCACACGAUGCCUUGGCUGCCAUUUCAAUAUGCUAAAUCCCACCAGGUAUGAUUUGCGUAUCGUUCGCACAAUGCCAUCUCCAAGUGGUGUAAAUGAUGGUUUGGUUGCUGGCAAUGAAAAUCAUAUCUCCACCCCCGAGACCCACAGCUUUAGGACUUUGUAUGAAACUAGUAGUUUUUAAUUACAUAAUUAGGUUGUGUUUAGGUGAUUCAGAUGAGGCUGGAUAAAGUAGCAGACUGACAGCAGUACAGGAAACGUGAGCAAUCUCUUUACGUACUUUGUUUUUGAAUUAGUGGGAACUUUUUUUCUUUUGCCAAUUGAGUUAUUUGUCACGGAUAAAGUGUGAUAUUACAUUUUGGUUACUGGAUUGGAACCUUAUAUAAUGAUUUAGAGCUAUUCGUGCCGUCUGGCUAUUGCAUGUUACUUUUUCUGUCCCUGGAGAAAACCAUUAAAAGGUUACUUCUCAUUGCUUAUUGGAAUUCUGCAGUCGACAGUUUAUACACUGAUGGAGUGAAAUUGCAAUGUGGAUUAAUCCACGGUUAUAUUUUCGAUUUCAAGAUCACCUGAUUGCUACUCGAAACGUGUAAGGAAUGCUAGGUCAAUAGCUACGCCAGGUAUAAAAAUGAUGCUUUUGGUGUGAUGGGUAUGAUAGAAUCUUGAUGGUAGGACGCUGGACUUUUGAGGUCACAGUUGCUUCAAAGAUGGCAGGAAGAAAGUCUAGCGCACUGGAGUCACGAGCUAUGAUCUUGUUUUAGUGCACGGCAUGUGCAAAAGCCUGCGGAGGGAGACUCUCCAAGGUGGUACAACGCGGGACUGACUCGGGGUGAGUUACUGUACUUGUCGUGCCCUACUCUGUGCUCCAAAGUACCGUCGCUUCUCAUGGCAAAACUGAGGGUGGUCAAGAUGAUUUUGGAAGAUAGGGAGCUGAUAGAUGCUGUGCUUCUAUAAAGGCGUUUCCUGUCGGUGAUGAACUAGACAGGACAGUAUGGAACACUGAAGAAUCCUCGAAUUGGUUACUUGUUACACCAUAUCCUCACGAAAGUUCACGACUGCAAAUCCAAAUGUUCUUCACAUGGUCUUUAGUGUUCUGUCCUUUGUGACGCGCUGGCAGGGCGAGGGGAUUAACUCGCUCGGUCGAUCCUCAUUUGAUUGGCAAUGUGUCGUCAGUCAUUUCUCCGCCAUUCCCAAUCCUCAUCAGCUGCUCCAUCCCCGUUGAUACAGUGCCAUCCAGAUCGUGGUGGAGGAGGGCGAUGUCCAUAUCUCUUUGGUUUUC